GGAAGUAAAAGUCGUAACAAGAUUUCCGUAGGUGAACCUGCGGAAGGAUCAUUACAGAGUUCAUGCCCUCACGGGUAGAUCUCCCACCCUUGAAUAUUUAUACCUUAGUUGCUUUGGUAGGCCGUGGAAACACCAUGGGCUCCGGCUUAUGCGUGCCUGCCAGAGGAAACAAACUCUGUUUUUAGUGAUGUCUGAGUACUAUAUAAUAGUUAAAACUUUCAACAACGGAUCUCUUGGUUCUG
rnacentral:misc_RNA from 1 species